GUAACUCAAACCGAGGUAUUAAACUGUGUUUCGCCCUGCAGCACCUGCAGCUGGUUUCCUGUGCUCAGCUAAUCAACCACCACCACGGCUGAGGUGUGUUCAGCUGCAGUUCCUCUUCUGUCCACUAGAUGACGCUCCAAGAAAACCCUUCAUUUUGAGGCAAAUGGGAAAACCCCUUAAUUCUCUCCAUCAAUACAAAUUGAAUGCAGGUUUUACACAACAAGUGUAAUACUGUGUUCAAACAGUGUUCACUUUGAAUGUGUCUGCUGGUGAUGGUUGACGUUUGUGGAUUUCAGAAAAGUGUUUUGAGACUGAAUACCUUCCACACACACUAUGUAAAUAACCCAAACGUCUCUGCUCCCACGGUCAGUGAAGGUGUUCACUUCCACCACGUUGAAGGCCGUGACGCCGUGACGCAUAAAUCAGCUGGCAAAAAACAGCUCGGGUCCUUGCUGCCCACUGUUGACCGCAAACCGUGAAACAACCAUCUAUAAAGCCGCUCAGGUGGACUGACGUGUAAAUCAGACGUGUGACUCGAACAUUAGCAGCGAUUUAGGGUUUUCUGAGCAACAUCAAGUGUAUGUAGAGACCGUCGACUCAUCAUGCAAACAUCUAACCACGGAUCUUUUUAUUUUCAAUGCGUUUCUCCAUCAGGCUCAUAAAUGCAUACAAACGUGGGUCAGAGGCUUCAAAACAAAUGCACAGAGCAAUUAUAACUAUUGAAACAGAAAAUGAAGAGAAAGUUAUCAUAGUGUAAUCUCUAAUAAUAAUAAUAAAAGAAAAGAAAAGGGAAUUAAUGAUCAUCAUGGUUCUGUCUCCUGUAUAACUUGCUCUAAUGCGAGACAAACUACAUUAAACUGCAGAAGAUAAAAGGAGGUCUGCACUCUGUUAGGCUCCAGAUAAACAGUUUAUUUCUCUCUAAGGCACCGUAUCGAUCUGUAAGGGACCGAGGGAAAGAGACAAGCAGGCAGCUUCUCUGCGUGGGAGGUGUCGGUAUGAAGCCUCACAGCUGGCUCAGGAGGAACUGGCUGUGGGCCGCCGGCGGUGCGUUCGCCACCGUCCACCUGGCCACCUGGCUGAUGCAGAGAGCCAUGAGGAGCGCCGUGCGCUCUGAGGCUGCACUCAAACAGAAACCUGCUGAGGAAACACUGGACUGACGCUCGGUCACCUUCUCAUACAAUUCAAGGACAGGAAGCAGCUUGUGUUGAACACAGCGGAGGACUGAGACCAACACUACCACUGAUUAACUCUGAUGAACGAUCCACUGUGUCCCCUUCAGUCCGACUUAGAAUAUUCAAUUGUGAAUCAUAAAACUGCAGCGAAGAAGCUGCUUUGUUCCACAGAUUUAGUGUUUUUUCUCUGUUUAAUUUAAUGGUUGGUUGAUGAGUGAGGUGUGAUCCACUGUGAAUCAAUCAAUAAACCAAUAAAAUGAUCAAAAGU